CCCAUGGGCGUGCUGGUCUUACAGGGAGGUGUGUUCAGGUGCAUUCUGGGCGUGCUGGUCUUACAGGGAGGUGUGUUUAGGUGCAUUCGGGGCGUGCUGGUCUUACAGGGAGGUGUGUUCAGGUGCAUUCUGGGCGUGCUGGUCUUACAGUGAGGUGUGUUCAGGUGCAUUCUGGGCGUGCUGGUCUUACAGGGAGGUGUGUUUAGGUGCAUUCGGGGCGUGCUGGUCUUACAGGGAGGUGUGUUCAGGUGCAUUCUGGGCGUGCUGGUCUUACAGUGAGGUGUGUUCAGGUGCAUUCUGGGCGUGCUGGUCUUACAGGGAGGUGUGUUCAGGU